UAAGCGGAGGAAAAGAAACUAACAAGGAUUCCCCUAGUAACUGCGAGUGAAGCGGGAAAAGCUCAAAUUUAAAAUCUGGUGGUCUUUGGCCAUNCGAGUUGUAAUUUAGAGAAGCGUCUUCCGCGCUGGACCGUGCACAAGUCUCCUGGAAUGGAGCGUCACAGAGGGUGAGAAUCCCGUCUUUGGCAUGGACAUACCAGGGCUUUUGUGAUGCGCUCUCGAAGAGUCGAGUUGUCUGGGAAUGCAGCUCAAAAUGGGUGGUGAACUCCAUCUAAAGCUAAAUAUUGGCGAGAGACCGAUAGCGAACAGGUACCGUGAGGGAAAGAUGAAAAGCACUUUGGAAAGAGAGUGAAACAGUACGUGAAAUUGUUGAAAGGGAAACGCUUGAAGUCAGUCGCGUCGACCGAGACUCAGCCUCGCCUCGGCUUGGUGUACUUCUCGGCUGACGGGUCAGCAUCAAUUUCGCCUCUUGGAUAAUGGCGAGGGAAAUGUGACACCUUUACGGUGUGUUAUAGUCUCUCGUCGCAUGCAAGGGUCGGGAUUGAGGAACUCAGCACGCGCCUUUGGGUGUCGGGGCUUUGCCCACGAUACGUGCUUAGGAUGUUGGCGUAAUGGCUUUAAACGACC
rnacentral:rRNA from 1 species